rnacentral:rRNA from 1 species
AUGCAUUGGGUGUCUUGGAAGGAUUUGGCUACACCCAAGUGUAAUGGGGGAAUGGGUUUCAGGGAUCUACAGCAGUUCAACCUGGCUAUGCUGGGUAAACAAGGUUGGUGUUUUUUGACCAAUCCAAACUCGCUUUGUGCAAGGGUACUCAAGGGUCGCUAUUUUCCAGAUUCAGAUUUUAUGCAGGCCGCAGCACCCAAGUCGGCCUCAGCUACAUGGAAGGCGAUCAUAGCGGGUCGAGAGGCUCUCCAGAUUGGUUUGAUUUCCCGGGUGGGGGAUGGCUCCACUAUAUCAGUCUGGACUGAUAAAUGGAUCCCGGGCACCAUCUCCAUGACUCCACAAGCACGGCCACUAAAUACACAAGUGGAAAAAGUAUCAGACUUAAUUGAUUCUGAGAGUUGGACGUGGCGGCAGGAUUUGAUUCGGGAAACUUUUGGUGCCUCAGAUGCAGCUACUAUACUUAAUAUUCCUAUUCGUCAGGGUGGAGGGCCUGAUUUUCCUUCAUGGGCGUUUGAUAGAUCGGGCAACUACACUGUCAAGACGGCGUACCGAGCUCUCGUGACUCACAAAGAGCGACUAGCUCUAGAGGAAGGGACGGCUACCGGGACUUCAGAGGAUGACAAACAGUUGUGGAAAGCCCUAUGA